rnacentral:tRNA from 1 species
GCCUAGGUAGCUCAGUUGGCAGAGCACUUCCCUGAAGAGGAAGGGGCCGCCGGUUAGAGACCGGCCCUAGGCACCA